rnacentral:rRNA from 1 species
GUGCCAGCCGCCGCGGUAAUACGAAGGGACCUAGCGUAGUUCGGAAUUACUGGGCUUAAAGAGUUCGUAGGUGGUUAAAAAAGUUGGUGGUGAAAUCCCAGAGCUUAACUCUGGAACUGCCAUCAAAACUUUUUAGCUAGAGUAUGAUAGAGGAAAGUAGAAUUUCUAGUGUAGAGGUGAAAUUCGUAGAUAUUAGAAAGAAUACCAAUUGCGAAGGCAGCUUUCUGGAUCAUUACUGACACUGAGGAACGAAAGCAUGGGUAGCGAAGAGGAUUAGAUACCCUCGUAGUCCAUGCCGUAAACGAUGUGUGCUAGACGUUGGAAAUUUAUUUUCAGUGUCGCAGCGAAAGCGUUAAGCACACCGCCUGGGGAGUACGACCGCAAGGUUAAAACUCAAAUGAAUUGACGGGGACCCGCACAAGCAGUGGAGCAUGUGGUUUAAUUCGAAGAUACGCGCAGAACCUUACCAACACUUGACAUGUUCGUCGCGACUUUAAGAAAUUAAAGUUUUCGGUUCGGCCGGACGAAACACAGGUGCUGCAUGGCUGUCGUCAGCUCGUGUCGUGAGAUGUUGGGUUAAGUCCCGCAACGAGCGCAACCCUUACUUUUAGUUGCCACCAUUUAGUUGAGCACUCUGAAAGAACUGCCAGUGAUAAGCUGGAGGAAGGUGGGGAUGACGUCAAGUCCUCAUGGCCCUUACGUGUUGGGCUACACACGUGCUACAAUGGCACUUACAAUAGGAAGCAAAGAGGCGACUCUAAGCAAAUCCUAAAAAAGUGCCUCAGUUCGGAUUGUACUCUGCAACUCGAGUACAUGAAGCUGGAAUUGCUAGUAAUCGCGGAUCAGCGCGCCGCGGUGAAUACGUUCCCGGGUCUUGCACACACCGCCCGUC